AUUCUCUUCACUUGCAGACGUAGAAGCGCGAAGUAAUCCUCUUUCCCAAAUUUCCCCCCAAAAUAUUCCCACCUCAAUUGAUCAUCACUUACUUUGCCUCUACCCUCCUCUAUGUUGGCACUGCAAUUACAAGGAAUUGUUGACCUUAUUCUUGUGUUAAUCAAAAAGAUGGGAGACAAAGGUAAUGGGUAUUUUCUAAUUUUGUCAACUUCAAUUUUAACUUUCUGCAUGUGGAAGUGGCUUUAAUUCUAAUCCAGUUUUGAUAUUCAACUUGGUCUCCUCAUUCAAGGGAGAUGUAACUAGCGUGCGCAGCCAUUUUAAUUCGAGUUAGGUUUGCAUCAUUUUUGUCUGUUGCUGCAGGUACUAAAAUUUGUUGCUCUCGUAUUGUAUAGUAUUAAGUUUUUUUUUUUUUUAAUAUUUUUAUGGUAUAUAACUAUUAUAUAUCAAAUAUUGGCAAAUGUAGUUCAUUCGAUACAAAUAGACAUGGUUGGACCUCUCUUAAUCUUGUUAAAUUUCUACUAACUAGUACGAAGUACGUGCAUUGUACGUCUUAUGUGC
rnacentral:lncRNA from 1 species